UGACAACAUAGCAGCAAGGGUCGGACGAGCCAGCGGUUGCCUCAUGGCGAGCUUAAUGUGGACAUAGCCAUGAGAAUAUAAGAAAUCACGCGUACGUUACGUUUACUUGUGAAGUUAUGAUAGUGAAAUGAUUUUUUUUUUAAAUUGUUUAUUUUCAGUCAUAACAUCAACACAUAAAUAAUAUUGUCUACUUUUUGUCACAUUUUCGUCUGUUUGUUGGAACGUUACACUUAUGACAAUUAAAAAUAAAGUUUAUUCAGUGAAUUUUUCACGACACACAAGAUUAUCUUUUAACAAUCAAAGUGGACAAGUAAAUCUGAAUUAUUUUAACCAUAGUUUUGUGUCAUUUCGCUGUAACUGAACUUAAUUAUACCACAAAUUUUAAAUGUUAAAACUGACACGACACACA